UUUGUCUGUUGUCAAGGUCUCACCUCAGUGCGAUUCCUCACGUUUUGUCAUGAUUAAAGGAUGAAUGUGAACACCGCUUCAGUCACUGUGUUCACUUCCUGAUAUGUCAGAACUGUGCUCACGUCACUCACUUUUUUUAACAACAUGACACACUGCUGUAAACAGAGACCCUGUAAUGUUAGCACCAAGUAGGACUUCAUAAAAAAUAAUGCUGUCAAGCUAACUUUUGCUCUUUCUGUCUUUUUCAGGACCUUGAGGCAGUGUGGGACAGCUCCCUGCACAACUCCCUCCUGCUCAACUGCGUCACUCCCUAUGGAGAGAAGAUCUACAUGACCUUAUCUGCGUAUCUGGAGUUGGACCAUUGCAUCCAGCCUGCCAUUAUCACCAAAGACCUCUGCACGGUCUUUUACUCCCGAGACGCCAAGAUUUCCCCACCCCGUUUUCUCAAGAACCUCUUUGGGACUGGAUAGUCCAAAACUCCUGACUGGUAAAUCUGGGCUGCUGUACUGUGGCCAUCUCUGUUUCACAAUCAAAGAUAUCUGCCCUGUUACAAAGUUUCCUUGUUCAUAACUUCUGCUUCAUUAUAGCAACCGAGUGACUGGGAUCUACGAGCUGAGCUUGUGUAAGACGUCUGACACUGGAAGCCCAGGGAUGCAGAGGAGGAGGAGGACGGUCCUGGACACAUCA